AUUGAACGCUGGCGGAAUGCUUUACACAUGCAAGUCGAGCGGCAGCGCGGGGCAACCUGGCGGCGAGCGGCGAACGGGUGAGUAAUGCAUCGGAACAUGUCCAUUCGUGGGGGAUAGCCCGGCGAAAGCCGGAUUAAUACCGCAUACGCCCUUUGGGGGAAAGCGGGGGACUUCGCAAGAGGCCUCGCGCGAAUGGGUUGGCCGAUGUCCGAUUAGCUAGUUGGUGGGGUAAAGGCNCACCAAGGCGAUGAUCGGUAGCUGGUCUGAGAGGAUGAUCAGCCACACUGGGACUGAGACACGGCCCAGACUCCUACGGGAGGCAGCAGUGGGGAAUUUGGACAAUGGGGGCAACCCUGAUCCAGCCAUUCCGCGUGAGUGAAGAAGGCCU
rnacentral:rRNA from 1 species